GUCUUUUUGAUUAUAAUUUAAAGUCUGGCCUGCUCAAUGAAAAUUAAAUAGCUGCGGUAUAUUGACCGUACAAAGGUAGCAUAAUCAAUAGUUUCUUAAUUAGAAACUGGAAUGAAAGGUUUGAUAAAAAAUUAACUGUCUCAAUUUAAUUUUAUUAAAAUUUUAUUUUUUAGUUAAAAAGCUAAAAUUAUUUUUAAAGACGAGAAGACCCUAUAGAGUUUUAUUAAAAUUAUUAUUUAGUGAUAUUUAGAAUUUUUUUUUAUUAAUAAAAAUUUUAAUUUAAUUGGGGUGAUUGAAAAAUUAAAAUAACUUUUUUUAAAAUUAAUUCAAUAAUAUUUGUUUUUUUGAUCCAUUACAAUGAUUAUAAGAUUAAAUUACCUUAGGGAUAACAGCGUAAUUUUUUUUUAGAGUUCAUAUUAAAAAAAAAGAUUGCGACCUCGAUGUUGGAUUAAAAUUAAUAAUUGGUGAAGAAGCUAAUUUAUUAGGUCUGUUCGACCUUUAAAAUUUUACA
rnacentral:rRNA from 1 species